AUAACGACUCUCGGCAACGGAUAUCUMGGCUCUCGCAUCGAUGAAGAAAGYAUCGAAYUGCGAUACYUGSUGUGAAUUGCAGAAUCCCGUGAACCAUCGAGUCUUUGAACGCAAGUUGCGCCCGAAACCUUUGSUYGAGGGCACGUUUGCCUGGGUGUCACA
rnacentral:rRNA from 1 species